rnacentral:tRNA from 1 species
GAAGUAAAUUACUUGAACUUCUAAUUCAAAACUUAAUGACCCUAAAAUCAUUUUACUUCU